ACAGCAGUAGCCGCGGGAAUACGAAGGGGGCUAGCGUUGUUCGGAUUUACUGGGCGUAAAGGGUGCGUAGGCGGAUUGUUAAGUCAGGGGUGAAAUCCCGAGGCUCAACCUCGGAACUGCCUUUGAUACUGGCGAUCUUGAGUCCGGGAGAGGUGAGUGGAACUGCGAGUGUAGAGGUGAAAUUCGUAGAUAUUCGCAAGAACACCGGUGGCGAAGGCGGCUCACUGGCCCGGAACUGACGCUGAGGCACGAAAGCGUGGGGAGCAAACAGGAUUAGAUACCCCCGUAGUCCCUGUCUCUUAUAC
rnacentral:rRNA from 1 species